UGACAUCCCUGGUCUAUACAGUGCACCUUACAUAUUGGGGCCAAUACCAAAAAAUACAAAAAGACAACCCUUUACAGUGUGGCAUCAAUUUCAUUCUGGGGGUAUAAAAAGCUGGUAUUGUCAGUAAGUUGUUCCCAGUUCAUCAUUCAAGCAGCCAUGAACAGACGACGUGACAUAACGGACGAGCAGUGCCACCUGGCCAUUGCCAGACAAGACCUGGCCACUGCCUGCUACCGACCAUUCAGGUUGGUAACAGGCAGUCAGAUGUUGCUCGUGAAUUUGGUGUGUCUCAAAGUGUCAUCAGCAGACUUGCAGCAAGACACAGAACUACUGGCAGUGUUGAUGACAGACCCAGGAGUGGAGCCCCACAAGUGACGGACCGCAGUAAUGACCAGUACCUAAGGACCUAUGCCCUCAGACACCGUUAUGCAACGGCCAUACAGCUGCAGUGGGCACAAGACCAUGUGACCUGGACAAUGCAGCAGUAGUCUACCGUCCUGUUCACUGAUGGGCGUCAGGUCACCUUGCACAGCGUUGCUGGAAUCAGCGUUGCUGGAGAAGGCAAGGGACAGUUUUCGUCCGAGGGAAAAGAGAAAUUUCUUAACAUGGAGGAAGAGGAGUGGAACAGACACCAACAUGAACACAAGAAGUACAUGGAUGUUGGACACCUCGAGUCUUCUGCUACUGCUGUUAGUGCAUAUGGUUUCUUAUCUGUACAGUCUUAGGCAACAAUAAAGUUAAUCUUUACUAUUAAAGGAGAUUAGGUUAAAGCUCGAUGAUUACUUUGGGCUACAGCACAGAAAAGACUGACAAAGUAUCGCAGCAUUUCUAUGUUAUUUUUUAACUCCACUGAGUCGUUACAUACAGUACAGUCCUAAUGCUUGAUUAGCUGUCAUGCUUUCUUGCAGAAGAAAGAAUGAGCUGCCUGUUUGCAAAGUUUAAAGAAUGCAGUAUGAGCUGGACCCCGAAACACACACACACACACACACACACACACACACGUCCCAGACCCAGGCCAGCAAAACGUUUCAGUAUAAACUUGCAUCACAAUAGUUUUAAUAAUUUUUUAUCAGCUGUGAAGAGUUGGUGACUCAGUACCUCAGGGGUUAAAACAUCUCCGAUGAACCACAACACCCCUGGUUUCCUUUCAGCACUGACCUUUAUUGCAUGUCAUUUCGCAUCCCUUUCUGCUCAUUUCCUCUCAUCUCUGUCUAAUAAAGGUAUGCAAUGCCUCAGAAAUACCUUUAAAAAACUCAGUGAACAAUGAUACACAGAUCAUGAAGCAUCAUGCAACUAGGGACAAACGUAAACUUCUUGUCAUCCACUAAUCAUUAGUCAAACAUCUGCAUAAAAUUCUUCAUCCUCCUCUAAAGAAGAGUCAUUACAGUGUGCAGGUUGAAGACCUCUGGUUGGAGUGUUGAACUGUUUCAAUGACCAGCUUUGCAGAAUCACAGUUACAGUACCGUACAAAAGUAUUUGCCCCCUACAAAAAUCUUCUAUUUUUGCAUAUUUGUCACACUUUCAUGUUUCAGAUCAUCAAACUAAUUUGAACACGUCAAAGAUAACCCAAGAAAACACAGAAUGCAGUUUAAAUGAUAUCUUUAAUUGAAGGAAAACACUGUCCAGCCCAUAUUGCCCUAUGUGAGAAGGUAAUUGCCCCUCAGCUACCAAUCUACCAAAUGACCAAACUCAGUUGGGUUCAGUUUCACCAUCCGCACUCACACAUGAUUGCUGCCAGGCUUGUUGAAUCUAAACAUCACUAAACAUCACUGCCAUUGUGAAGUAGCCAAAUCCUCAGAAACACAGCACAUGAUGCCACGUUCUAAAGAGAUUUAAGAACAGAUGAGACACAAAAUCAUUGACAUUUCUCAGUCUGGAGGGUUCCAAAGUCAUUGCUAAGGCUCUGGAACUCCAGAGAACCACAGUCAGAGGCAUUAUUGACAUGGUUCAUCUGCUAUUUACCAAAAAUAUCUGGAUGAGCUCCAAGAUCAAUGGGAUAACAUCCUGUGGGCUGAUGAGGUAAAGGUGGAACUUUUUAGAAGACAUGGGUUCAUUACAUCUGGUAUAAAGCUAAUACCACAUUCCACAAGAAAAACAUGAUACCAGCAGUGAAACAUGGUGGUGGUAGUGUGGUAGUUUGAACAUGAUUUUUCAUAACUGAUGGAGCCAUGAAUUCUGCUCUCUGUCAGAAAAUCUUGGAGAACCAAACAAUGACAGUACAAGCUAAACACUCAAAAUAUGUACACAAAGACUAAAGCCGUGUGUCUACUAGAUGUGAUUUUCCCGCACAGCAACGCACCGCAUCUGAAAAGCGCACUGCCGGCGGGCAGUCACUAGCGGACAUUGUCACGUGACCAAGCUUUCAACUUGACAGCCCAGCAGAUGAGUCGGAUGGGAAGAUGGCGCCACAUGAGUGGCAGCCAGUUGCAGCAGCUCCGACCCUUUUCUUUGUUUAUAGCAAAUUUUUUGCACUUUUAGCUUUCCUUCACUGUUUUCUUUUCUACAGUCAUCGCUCCGGCACAUGUCCAUUCCUUGGUGUUAAGCUGGUGAGACUGCUGCUGUUUUUUUUUUUUACUGUUUUCUGGACUCUUAAAUACAGGACAGCCCAGCUGUUGUUUACACCCAGGAGCAGCUGUUAGCGCUUAGCCAAGCUAGGCUACAUCCCGAAGCGCGACCUGAGAUCCCCGCCGAACUACAGAGGAGAAGGAGGGGAUGCAGAGCCGGAGUAAAAUGCCGCGAAAGGAGACGACGUACAAGCCAUGCCUUUCAUCUGUUAUCAUGGGAAAUGUGAGGUCUCUCCUUAAUAAAAUGGAUGAGCUAGCAUCGCGAACACGGCUACAGCGGGAGUACCAAGAGUGCAGUCUGCUUCCCCUCAUGGAGACCUAGCUGAACGAGCUGACCCCGGACUCAAUGGUGCAGCUCGACGGGUUUCACUCAUCAGAGCGGACAGAGACAUGAGGGCGAGUGGUAAGAAGAAGGGUGGAGGAAUAGCGAUGUUUGUGAACAACAAGUGGUGUAACCCUGGGAACAUUUAUAUUAAGGAGCAACGGUGUACCAGGGAAAUUGAGCUGCUAGCUGUUAGCAUCCGGCUGUACUACCUGCCGAGGUAGCAUUAUUGCAGUAACGGUGUACAUCCCUCCCUCGGCCAAUGCCGACUCAGCCUGCAAGCUCCUCCACAGUGUGGUUUCACAGUUACAUACAGCACAUCCUCAAGCGUUCUUCCUCAUCACCGGGGAUUUCAACCACUCUUCCCACCUUCCAUCAGUUUGUGGACUGCCCCACCAGGGACAACAAAACUCUGGAUCUGCUCUAUACAAACACAGCUGAUGCCUACAGUUGCUCCCCCCUCCCCCCCCUGCUUAGCCGCUGAGACCACAACCUGGUCCAUCUGCUCCCUGCUUACACACCUUUGGUGAAGAAUCAACCCCCAACCAAAAAGUAUGUGAAGCAGUGAUCUGAGGAGGCCAGCAAGGCACUCCAAGACUGUUUAACCACCACAGACUGCUGGGUCACAUGGACAGGACAUUGACAGUUUAACAGACUGCAUCACAGGAUACAUAAACUUCUGCGUAGAAACCACCGUACCCACUCGGAGGGUACGGUGUUUCUCAAACAAUAAGCCAUGGGUGACUCCUGAGCUGAGAGCCUUGAUGCUCCUCCAGCUCCUCCUUCCUGCUAGCCCCCCCCCCCUGCACUUUUUUUCUCCCCAAAAGUAACACACACAUCCACCUACUUAGGUGCAAUAACGGAUACCUCAUCAGUGCAAUAACUGAUACCUCAUCCUCCUGUAUAUAGUCUUCUACAUGGUAUUUAAAAAAAUCAUCUGUACAUGAUGUUAUCUGCCAUUUUUGCACUGUCAUUCUUUUUUCUUAUUUCUGUACUACCUUAAUAUUUUUAGAAUUUUUCUCUGGAGCUGCUGUAACGGUGAACUUUCCCCACUGUGGGAUCAAUAAAGUUUAUCCUUAUCCUUAUAAACUUUCCCUUUUGUAAUGGUUAUGAUGCGUACGCAGAUACAGCAGCUAUAAACUUCUCCACGACGAACUGUGUUUAACACCUUCUUUAAGCACCUUACCUGUCCCUGAUUGGACAAACGCAUCAACUCGGGGGCUGGUCUGCUACUAAAUUUCA